CAUUCUUAUCUGUUGAUAUGCUCUAUAGUCUCUAUGUGGCACAACCGUGGGAUAUGUUUCUGAAAAUUUUUAAUUUGCCAUGAUGUUUGCAGCUCAAAUUCAAGCAUAUGAAUGCUGCAAGGAUACUGAGGUGUAUACAAUCCAAGCAAUGCCUAUGACUUACCUUUGUGACAUAGAUCACCAACCAAUAUCUCGACUAGUCCAAAAUCAUUUCGAGAUGUGACGAUAAGCAUUCUGGAGCAACUUUUGGACUAGUCCAUAAAUCAUAAUAAUACUUGCGGCAGGUGUGUAUUAGAUCAACCCCCUAACAAGAAGAAGAGAGUUCUGAGCAUUUUUUUCAGAACACUUCAGCAAAUGCAUAACAUCAUAAUUAUAUCACAAUUUUGUACAACUCUCAAUUGUAAGCAAAAGAGUUUGCAGUUUC